rnacentral:lncRNA from 1 species
GAAAUUCUACCUAAAUUUCCAAUAACGGUGACAGAAAUAAAUGAAGGUACUUUAAGUGUGGCUCAGCCAUUUGAUUAAGUGUUUCUUAGUCAUUAACGCCCUUGUUUUUAGACUCAUCUUAAUGAAACUGGAGAAAUCCUGAAGUAAGAGGAUGGCUAAAACUCAAAUUUUGUUUAAAAUAAGUAUAUGUGGUGUGUGUGGGGGGGUGCAAACAUUGAAGUACUAGCAGUUAUUAUAUGACCAGUAAAAAUAUGGAUGGCUUGUGUGUUCUUUGAUCUCUAUAUAUUUUAUAAUGAAAAUGAAUGAUUUUUAUUAAAACUCUGUUAAAGUUUCAUUUAUUCUAAAAAGUUAUUGAGAUUGGACAAACAAGAUGGGUAGGGUAAAAUCCCAAAGAUGACUUUAUAAAUCAAUAAAUGUUAGCAUUGUCUCUGGAGCAGCUAAUGAGAUGAAAUUUUCUAAAUGAAAAGAAAUUUGUGUGAGGGUGUCCUCCCGGAAUUUUAUUCUAAAUCCCAUCAAAGCUGCCUGGUUCAUAUUCUCCAGCUUCAUUUCUAGAAGUUGAACUGCAUCCAUAUAUUUUUCCAAUGCUCAGUCCUACUGGGCCCACUCUUGUAGACCAGAUUUGCGUCUUCGCUGGGGAUUGUCUGUUGACUGGUAUUAUCAGGGCUAGAUUUCUACAACUGUGAAUGUGGUUUCUGUUGUAUUGUCAUUACUGCCAUUGUUUAUCAGCAGUCAGUAGUUAUAAGCCUAAGGAAACCUGCAUGAAAAUUCCCAUGAGACAGAGGGAGGUUGAAUUCCUUCCCUACAUCCCAGAACAACUGAAAGUAUCUAGGGACGCAAAGAGAAGUGCUAGUAUUUGGGGUCAUAUUCUCCCAAAGAGGCCUGUUUGCAAUGGUUGCUCAAAAGAAUGUGCAGUAUGUCUGUGGAGAGAGGGAGGUGUCAGGGUGACUGAUCCCAUGCAGUCAUUUACUCAACUAACGUGUGCCUUGUGGGGGCUAGGGCUGUAACAGUGACUACUCAAGUGAUCUUAAAACCCACUGCAGCAAACAACUUAGAAAUUAAUGUUUUUAACAAGGUAGUCAUCCUAGCUUCUUUUCUGUUGUUGUCAUAAUGCACUCCAACCAGAAGCAGCUUGGAGAGGAAGGGGUUUACUUUAUCACAUGCUUUCAGAUCGUGGUCCAUCACUCAUGUCAGGACAGGAACGUGAAGGCAAAUUUGCUAUGCUACCCUGCAUUACCUUCAACUGCAUCCAUUCACAGUCAAGGAAGAGCAGUAGAGAGGAUGAGGAAACACUGCUUGAUGGCUCACUUUCAGAGGCAUACUUAGCUUAUGUAGCCCAGGACCACCCGCGCAGGGAAUGGUAGCACCCACAGUGGGCUUUGCUACGCCUCAUCAAUUAAUAGUCAAGACAAUCCCCCAAAGUCGUGCCCAUAGACCAGUCUGAUCUGAGUUAUCCCUCAAUUGAGCAUUCCAUCCCAAGUGACUCUGGGCUGUGUCGAAGAUAUGUAGGGCAGUAGUGUCAGUGUUAUCCAGAAAACUGAAGUGCAUGUCUAAUAGGCCAUGGGGUAACAGAAGAGACCUCACUGAGUGACAGAGGCUCAAACAAAGUCUCUGUGAUGAUGAGAAACCACAGAGACAGAGAAUAUAGUAAAGAGUUACUAGAGAGGAAAUAAGCUUGUGGUGAUUAAGAGUAAUUAAAGCCAGUAAGUAUAUUGAGAGCACAGGAAGUGAGCAGAAGAGAGAAGGGGCUAAGUCUGAAAAGUAGGCCAGGGAUGGAUCACAGUGCUGUGAGGAGCCACACUGAGGGAUGUGUGCUCAGUGGUAUACAAUGCAUCAGAGUCCUUCAAGCAAGGGAGAAGCUCAAAAUGCUUUAUAUUCUUCAAAAAUGAUCUUUUCUCUUGGAUGUUCAGUGCCGUGAGUAUAAAAGGGGUUAUAGCAAAUGCAAAAGCAGUCCAUAUUGAAGUACAAAAUAUAUUUACAGAUCAGAGGCACACCAAGAAAGUGUUCCAUGGGGGGUUGGGCAUUGAGCAGCUUGGAGUUGUAAAGGCCCAUGGAGUUAGGUGGCUAUCUGGUCUAUUAUACCAUCUAUUUUUAAAUAACUUUAGGUUGGUGCUAAGAUAUGUCUAUACUGUAACAUGAUUGGCUGCCGGGGCAGCAGGCAUUUCAAGGGUGUUACCAGGGAACAGUCUUUGGCACAGCCAGAAGUCUCUAUAUCCCCCAGGUGUUGUGAGGUGUUGUGAACAUAGCCUUGCCAAGUAGUUUUUAAUAGAGAAAUUAGAGGAGGAGGGAUUUGAUCUGUGGGAUAAGCUGCACCCUGAUGAGAUUGCCGAUACCUCGAUGUUUUAUUUGAAAUGAAAAAGGUGUUUCCUGGAGGCAGGUGCUGUCAGGAGAUGGUUGGUCUCAACUAGAAAGGACUGCAAGAACUUGGUCUAGGGUGAUGGUCAUGGAGCCAAAGCAAUGUGGUGGUUUUACUGGGACAUGUUUCGAAACUUCAUGGCUGGACCUCAGGAUACUGCCUUCAGAACUUCUGGAAAUAACCCAGUGGUGUUGCCAGUGGUGAGGUACCAGAAUCACAUUAGACACUGAGCCAAAUUAUAUUUCCCCUUCUCUAGGAAUCUAGAUGCCCUCGGGGAAGCCCUUGUGUUAAUAAUCACUAUCUUUAUAACCUGAUUCUAAGCAAACAACUGAAACAAAAACCAUUAACGUGCAACUGGUAUAGUAGGCCCAGUUUAAGGUAACAUCAUACUGCAUCCUCCUCCAAAUCAAGAAUUCAUCACUCCGUUGUAUACCAUAGCUCAUGUGCACCAUACAAAAACAAGCUCCAAGCUUAAUCUCCGUGCAGCUACAUUUCACGGGAAUAUGAGGGACUAUCAGAAUCAAGUCUACCUGACACAUACUGAGCACAAUUUUUGCCAGGCCUCUGGCAGAGAGACGUCAAAUAAAUUGUUUUUCAUCAGCACUCCUGUGACACAACAGAGGUCCGCACAGCACAAAAGUCAUGAAUUGGAAAUAUUUACCUUUUUCUAACUUUAUGUUUUCUGACUAGGUUACAUUGGUGAUGGAAUUAGUUAUAUCACAUGACAAAUUCACUUCAAGAAUGGAGAGUGAAAGCAUUCCCACAGGCACUGGGAUUCUCACAUAGUGGCAGUUCUUGGCCCCAUCCACAUAGAGUCUACAGUGGCAUUGGCACGGGAAGGGAGGGCUGCAGCAGUAUCGGCACUGCAUCUCUUGAACAUUACCCAGAAGCUCCGGUUGCUGUAGUGAGCUGGUCUUACCAUGGGCCCUGCAUGAGACCAUGCCCCAAGUUUCCAAUGAGAAAGAAUCUGCUACUGUCUGCCAUUUUAUUUAGAAGUUGGCAGUGACAAAAUUAAGCACCAAUAAUAUUGUGCCCCAAAUUCUGAACAGCAGCUAUGCAAAGUGUAACAAUAGCUGUUUACAGAUUAAUUAAUAAAAUCACUAUUAAGAUUUAUUGUCUAUGAUGCGUGCAGAGAUUGCAUGAGUAUAAUUCUAUAUUUUGUAAUAGCUAUGUUUCCUUUCCUGAUCGAUGUGGGAUUUUUAUGUGGUGUGUGAGUGUGUGUGUGUCUAUCUGUCUGUCUGUCUGUGUCUGUCUGUGUCUGUGUGUCUGUCUGUAUCUGUGUCUGAGUUUAAGAGGACCCAAUCUCUGAACUCUAAAUCCAGAUUUUAAUUGAGUUUUUAGUGUUUGCAUUUUCAGAACAUUCCUAUUAAUGAUUUAAAUACAAUUCUCCAUAGAUCCAGGCUAUUUUUCCUUUGGCUAGUAUCAGUUUGACUUCAUUAUUAAUCCUCACAGAAACAAACCCAUAAAUAAAUAAAUGUCAUAAUC